UCCUACGGGAGGCAGCAGUGGGGAAUAUUGCACAAUGGGGGAAACCCUGAUGCAGCCAUGCCGCGUGUGUGAAGAAGGCCUUCGGGUUGUAAAGCACUUUCAGUAGGGAGGAAGGUAGUGUAGUUAACACCUGCAUUAUUUGACGUUACCUACAGAAGAAGCACCGGCUAACUCCGUGCCAGCAGCCGCGGUAAUACGGAGGGUGUGAGCGUUAAUCGGAAUUACUGGGCGUAAAGCGCAUGCAGGCGGCCUGUUAAGUCAGAUGUGAAAGCCCGGGGCUUAACCUCGGAAUUGCAUUUGAAACUGGCAGGCUAGAGUCUUGUAGAGGGGGGUAGAAUUUCAGGUGUAGCGGUGAAAUGCGUAGAGAUCUGAAGGAAUACCAGUGGCGAAGGCGGCCCCCUGGACAAAGACUGACGCUCAGAUGCGAAAGCGUGGGGAGCAAACAGGAUUAGAUACCCUGGUAGUCCACGCCGUAAACGAUGUCUACUUGGAGGUUGUGGCCUUGAGCCGUGGCUUUCGGAGCUAACGCGUUAAGUAGACCGCCUGGGGAGUACGGUCGCAAGAUUAAAACUCAAAUGAAUUGACGGA
rnacentral:rRNA from 1 species